ACCCUCUGGUUUCCUUUCCUGUCAGAUCUGAUCACUGGUCUUAGCAUCUGUGAAAGGAGAAAACCUAAAUUCAAGCUGGUCUUAGAGUGUAGUUUGGCAUAUAGUAUGCGGGAUAGUUUCAAACAGGU
ensembl:snoRNA